rnacentral:rRNA from 1 species
AGUGAACGCUGGCGGUAGGCCUAACACAUGCAAGUCGAACGGCAGCACAGUAAGAGCUUGCUCUUACGGGUGGCGAGUGGCGGACGGGUGAGGAAUACAUCGGAAUCUACUUUUUCGUGGGGGAUAACGUAGGGAAACUUACGCUAAUACCGCAUACGACCUACGGGUGAAAGCAGGGGACCUUCGGACCUUGCGCGAUUGAAUGAGCCGAUGUCGGAUUAGCUAGUUGGCGGGGUAAAGGCCCACCAAGGCGACGAUCCGUAGCUGGUCUGAGAGGAUGAUCAGCCACACUGGAACUGAGACACGGUCCAGACUCCUACGGGAGGCAGCAGUGGGGAAUAUUGGACAAUGGGCGCAAGCCUGAUCCUGCCAUACCGCGUGGGUGAAGAAGGCCUUCGGGUUGUAAAGCCCUUUUGUUGGGAAAGAAAAGCAGCAGGUUAAUACCCCGCUGUUCUGACGGUACCCAAAGAAUAAGCACCGGCUAACUUCGUG